UACGGAGGGGGCUAGCGUUGUUCGGAAUUACUGGGCGUAAAGCGCACGUAGGCGGCUUUGUAAGUUAGAGGUGAAAGCCCGGGGCUCAACCCCGGAACUGCCUUUAAGACUGCAUCGCUUGAACAUCGGAGAGGUGAGUGGAAUUCCGAGUGUAGAGGUGAAAUUCGUAGAUAUUCGGAAGAACACCAGUGGCGAAGGCGGCUCACUGGACGAUUGUUGACGCUGAAGUGCGAAAGCGUGGGGAGCAAACAGG
rnacentral:rRNA from 1 species